CUGCGCAUGGCAUUGUAUAUUUCGAAUGGUAAGUGUUCUUUAAAGUCGUUUAUAAAGAAAUCUAGAAGUUUUUUUAACACAUUUGACAAUAGAUAUCACUGAAAUAAUGCCUGGAUGUUCGGAUUUUGGUUGUUCUAAUUCUUCUGUAAAAGGAUAUAUCGUGAAAUGUUUUCCAAGAGAUCCCGUUCGGAGAAAAAUUUGGGCUAAAUAAGUGAGCCGAAGAACCUACAAAUAAUUAUUGUUUGUGUGAAGUUCAUUUUGAACCAUAAAUGUGGAAAAAGAUUUAGCCUCAUUGGUCGAACGUUCGUCACGUGCCAAACGUUCAACCAAUCUUAUAUCAUAAUUUUAAAUUCAAAAUUCGAAGAAUACCGUUAUUGCAGAUUAACAUUCCACAACAACAAAAAUGGAAUUAAAAGAGAGCACUAAGCAAGAACUAUCCAAUUAUUUAGGAUUUUCUAGUCUUCCCAAUCAAGUUCACAGAAAAUCUGUGAGNAAAAAGA